GACGAACGCUGGCGGCGUGCUUAACACAUGCAAGUCGAGCGAGGCCCUUCCUUCGGGAAGGUGCCCUAGCGGCGAACGGGUGAGUAACACGUGGGCAACCUGCCCCUAGCACUGGGAUAACUCCGGGAAACCGGGGCUAAUACCGGAUAUGACGUUCGAGGGCAUCCUCGUACGUGUAAAGGAUUCUGGCUAGGGAUGGGCCCGCGGCCUAUCAGCUUGUUGGUGGGGUAACGGCCUACCAAGGCGACGACGGGAGCCGGCCUGAGAGGGUGACCGGCCACACUGGGACUGAGACACGGCCCAGACUCCUACGGGAGGCAGCAGUGGGGAAUCUUGCACAAUGGGCGAAAGCCUGAUGCAGCGACGCCGCGUGAGGGAUGACUG
rnacentral:rRNA from 1 species